rnacentral:lncRNA from 1 species
AUGACUCUGAAAUCUACCUCUCUGUCUUUUUUUAACCACACUGUUCUCUGGACUGAAACGAGGAGCGUCUGGACCACGGUCGCCCCGGCAGGCUGCUUUCCUGACACAAGCAGUGGGCUGCGGAGUCCACCUGGGUUGUGUUUUGCUCCGCAGGGCAGGAGCCUGGAGCAGGAUCCCGUACCACUAACAGAGCCAGCGGGACAGAGAGAGAGAAGCGGUAGUGGCAGGGAAAAGGAGGGACCCCCUGAAAUCCUUGCACCCGUAAGCGAAGGACCUUCCUUAGCAAGCUCUCCCAGAGGGUUGGAAGAGAAGGGACAACUCAGAUCCCAGCCCCGAAAGGCCAGGCAAGAGUGGUCUUGUGCUCACCCAUGAACCCUGAGGAGGCUGUGGAGUUGGAAGCAUGUCUGCAGAUAUUUUGAGGAGAGUUGUUGGUACUUUUUUGUUUGUUUCAGAUUUGAGAAGGUCAGCACGUAAGCCCAGCAGAUCAGCACUUCCUCUAUAUCUGCCAUCGUCCUUGUUGAACUGGAGGUGAGGCAGAGCCGGCUUCUGUCCCUCUCUGGCAAAAUGGGAAAGUGCCAGCUCAGGAGGCAGAAGGCCCUCGGUGGUCUCUCUUGCUACCUAGAGAGGGUUUGGGCAACCUCCGGACGGCCGUCAGCCUGAGUUCCCUGCCUUAAAGGCAGGCUCAAAGGCCUUCAGCUUACCUAUCAUGCACGCUUGCAAAGGCGCGGGCUCUCGGAGGGGAGCUGAAGCCUUGAGAUCCGGGAAGCCAGCAGCCUUGGGGGGAGCGGGGCAGUAAGUUAGCCUCUGGGAUCAGGAUUGAACCCCCUCCUGUAUGACAGGCCUCUCUGAGGCAGCUGGCAGCCCCCUUGAGCCUCCUCGUCCUCCGGGCAUCGCUUGCAUGACAGCUGCCAGGGAGAGGGGUCUCUUGAAGAAGGCAGGACCCCUUUCCGCACUCUGAAAAAGGAGCGGCCAGCUUGUGGACGGUAGUUUGGUAGGUGGCUCCCCAACGGGGCAUGUGGGGAUUGGCUUAGAGGCAGAGCCCCCGGUCUUCUCAGCUUGGGUUGAAGCUUCCUGCUGGGCUCCGAGGGCCCCCUGCUCCCACCCACCCUGAUGCAUUUUCCGCAUGAGAUCGAAGGAGGGGCCGCCACCACUAUCGGAAAGCUAGUGGGUGGGCCGGAGGGAAGAGCGUGGGCGGGCCGGCCGGCCUCCACCACCACUGAGCCUGCUCAGCAAAGUCCUGUUUCUGGCCCUCUUUAAGCAGGGCGAGCGCUUCCGUCAGUCCCAUCAUUUAUCACAGAUUGUGCACGGAGUGGCUCAAGGACUCCCGGUGGGGGGGGGUACAGCUUCUGCCCCCCUUUGGCUCUCCAACCCUUCCCUUUCCCUUAUUUAACAUCUCCUUUCCCAAUGUAGCUUGGCUGUGUGUUUGUCUUGAAUGUUUGCCCCAGACUUGAAAAAAAAACAAAGAUAGCAAUACUUCACCGACUGUCAGGCGGGAGCAUCCCAUCCACCUCUUGUUGUGAGCCCCAAAGGAAAACUGGAAGUAAAUGGAAAGGCAGGCAGGAGGGGGCAGAGAUCGGAAACCGGUGGGAGCUGCUGGAUUUUCUUUUCGGUGGAUUUACAAGCUGGGCAAGACACCAGAGACAAAGAUCCUAUUGUAAAAAUUACAAAGAGAAUUUGUAUAGAGACCUAUUUUUGUAUUACAUCCAACUAUCCCUGCAUGUCAGCAAUAAAAUUUCAUAAUGUAGAAAGAGUUGUGCCUCG